AAACAAACUCUAUGGACAAAAUUCUCUAUUAUUUUUUCUUCUUUAGUCAUUUCUUUAUCUAUCUUCUCCAAAACUUGAGAGAUAUUUAGUUUUCUAGAUAUGAAUAGUACCUUAAAAAAGGGCUAGCCCAAGAGUCCGCUAGACAGAGAUAAUCGGUUUGGUUUGAUUUAUCAGUUUUCUCUACACACCUUGUUAGAGAUAUGAUGAAGAAGUUUUCUCUUUUGUGAUGAUGGAUCAAGAAAAAUUUCAUAUCUUUUUAGUCACAUUCUCUAUUAUGGUGAUCAAGAAGUGGAGUUUUUCUUUAUUCUCAAGAUGAAGGAUAGCAUAUCUUAAUAUUAUUAUAAGUUUGGAAAGAGGCACACAUUAUGGAGCCAGGCAAUUUUUUUUAUUUCUGUUUUUUCUUCUUUUUUAUUUUUUUGCCUUCUUAUUUAGAGACUGAUCAAUCUCAAGCUCUAUGUUGACUAAUAAUUCUUGAACAUGAGCCAAGAGUUGUACUGAAGAAAUUUUUUGCUGAUAAUUUUUAUGUUGAUUAUUCUAUUUGCUAAUAUUUUUUAUCGAAAAUGAAUAUGAUCUUAUUAUAUAUGUACGUUUUAUUUAUUUAUUUAUUGUA
rnacentral:lncRNA from 1 species